rnacentral:misc_RNA from 1 species
GAUGAAGAACGCAGCGAAAUGCGAUACUUGGUGUGAAUUGCAGAAUCCCGUGAACCAUCGAGUCUUUGAACGCAAGUUGCGCCUCAAGCCAUUAGGUUGAGGGCACGUCUGCCUGGGCGUCACAUAUCGUUGCCUGAUGCCAGUUUCCUCGUGGUGGGUGACUGUGCAGGGCGAAUGAUGGCUUCCCGUGAGCAUUGUUGCCUCAUGGUUGGUUGAAAAUUGAGUCCUUGGUAGGGAGCGCCGUGAUAGAUGGUGGUUGAGUGACGAACGAGACCCAAUCAUGUGAGACCCCUACCGAAUUUGGCCUUCAUGACCCACAUGCGUCUUUGGAACGCUCAUGACGAGACCUCAGGUCAGGCGGGGCUACCCGCUGAGUUUAAGCAUAUCAAUAAGCGGAGGA